CUGUGCCGGCUUACGUGAUGGGUGUACUCUGUGCAAAUAUUGUAUGUUAGAGCCCUGAAUGACUCGCUUGGGUUCCUUUAGGCUUGGUGAAAAUUUUCUUCUAAGUUACGCCAACAAUCGACAUCGCCGAUCGAUCAAGCGCCCGUUUCGGCUACAAGACUUGUGAAAGUGAACUCCAUAUAUACUCAGAUGUUUAUGAAAAGUGAUUCUCCAUAUGUGGAUGUUUACUUCAACAGGUGUGUUUUUGCUCUUGAAUUAAUUACAAGGUGUUGCAUUUUUCGUCCUGCAUCAACCUGGUCGGUGCAUUAGACAACUUUUUGCACUCUGCUUGGUAGGCCUGAAAGGUUUCACCUAGGAUAUGUCAGCAGCAGCAGAUCUCCUAGUCCAGACUCAGAAAGAGGGCUGGCUGCAUUUAUCGAGAAUCAGACCGUUCUCUUGGUGACAUUGAUGACAGAAUCUGUUCACCAAAUUAUGGCAGUGAUUGAAUGUCUCCUGUAAUAAAUCUUACCCUCUGAUCUUGUCUGACUAUUAAUUGUUUAAAAAAAUAUUGUAGGUUCGGGGGUAGCUCGUAUUCAUGUCUUCUCGAGGCUUAGGCAGGAGGGGCUUGGAAGGCUUUGCAACAGAUCUGUAGGAUAGUUAAAGAACAUCAAAGAACCGUUCAAGAGAGACAUUAUUAAAGAAUCUUUACGUUAUUUUCUUGAGAAAAGCUGAGAUAUUGUGGAUCAGUCUGUAUAUAUAUACCACCAGAAUUAUUUUACAUGUUAUGACAGUAUUGUCAUCUCCUUUUGCAUCAUAUAUAUCCAAACCAAUCGGAUUGGGUGUAAUUCAAGCAUCAAUUUGACACCAAACUUGUUGCCACUUGCCAGUUCCUUGUGCAGGUGCAGUUAGAUUUUUCUUUCCCAGCAUUUAGAGAAUGAGGACCCUCCACAGUCGAAUUCAUGCCUGUGAUCUUAAAUGUUGAUUGAACAGCACAGCACAAUCCAAUGCCUAUGGACUUUUUUUCAAGAUGGCCUUCUUAGUCGUCACCUUGGGCAUGUUGUUCGAAUUAUGGAUUAGCUCAUGGGUUUGUACUUGUAAUACGUGGCAAAGCUGUCCCCAGAACCAGGACCAGAGCCAGAAAUUUUUGGUGUUUUAUUACUUGGCUAUGGUCCAUACGGGGUCGUGCGCAUCUGAUGAUGUUUCACGCUGGCAAGGGCAGAGAGCGAGCUAGGACAGUUUGUGGAGCUCAGAUUGGGAAUUAAUGAGGCAAAAUUCCAGGACAGGUCCACCUGCAAACAAUUGUUUUCCGGGAUGAUGUUUUCGAAAUAAAAUUUUACAUAACACUAUGAUCGAGUUGUUUACAACUUAGAAAAGUUCUAAUUUCAAAUCAACAAGUAAACCAUUUUUCAAAAGAAUUUACUCUCAAAAGGAGCCCACAACACCACCAAAGGAGAUCAAUUACACCAAAAGGUGGCAUAUGUCACACAUCCCAAAUUUGUAGUUAUGCUACAACAGGGCCAGCCGACCUGGUUGUUGGAAGUCGCUGUACCUCCACUUUCUGAAUCUCUCCCUUACUCCACCCCACCCCACCCCACAACCUAUCUGAAAAUUUUAUUUCCUCUAGACCUCCUUGUUUCUUAGAACCUUGUAAUUACUAAGGUAUUAAAGCUGGAAUUCGAGCAAUCCAUCCGACUUAACACUAAUCUACUGCUGAAUUGAUAUUACCUUGCUAAAAAACAAUGAUUAAAAAUGGAGAACACCUGAAACGGUUAAUUACAAUGCCUAUACAAUCAACUAGCCAUCCUAGUGAAUAUUUAGCUGCUAUCCUUUGCAAACUUGAUAGCUUUAGCCUUGCAACAAAAUCUAACCAUACUUUCUUCACAUAAAGACGCUCAAUGUCAACAAAUCAUGCAGAAAUGCCUU